rnacentral:rRNA from 1 species
UACGGCGGGGGCUAGCGUUGUUCGGAAUUACUGGGCGUAAAGCGCGCGUAGGCGGACCUGCAAGUCGGGGGUGAAAGCCCGAGGCUCAACCUCGGAACUGCCUUCGAUACUGCGGGUCUCGAGUCCGGGAGAGGUGAGUGGAAUUCCUAGUGUAGAGGUGAAAUUCGUAGAUAUUAGGAAGAACACCAGUGGCGAAGGCGGCUCACUGGCCCGGUUCUGACGCUGAGGUGCGAAAGCGUGGGGAGCAAACAGG